rnacentral:lncRNA from 1 species
GGGGUUUGUGCCGGAGGGGAAGGGUCUUUUCCUCAGGGUUGGUGGUGGAGGGGAAGGGGUUUUUCCUCAGUGUUGGGUCCAGAAUUGAUUGGGCUUUUCAUCAGGGUUGGGGCCGGAGGGGAAGGGGCUUUUCCCCAGGGUUCUGGUUGUUCCUCAGGGUUGGGGCAGGAGGGGAAGGGCCUCUUACUUAGGACUGAGUUCGGAGGGAAGGGGUUUUCCUCAGGGUUGGGGCCGGAGUGGAAGGGGCUUUUCCUCAGGGUUAGGGCUGGAGGGAAAGGGGCUUUUCCUCAGCAUUGGGGCCGGAGGGAAGGUGUUUUCCUCAGGGUUAGGGCUGGAGGGGAAGAGGCUUCUCCUCAGGGUUGGGGCCAGAGCGGAAGGGUUUUCCUCAGGGUUUGGGGAUGGAGGGGUUGGGGCAUUUUCCUUAGGGUUUGGAGUUUUCCUCAGGGUUGGGUUCCGAGUGGAAGGCAUUUUUUCCAGGGGGUUGGGGCCCGGAGGGGAAGGGGUUUUUCCUCAGGUUUUGUGGCUGGAGGGGAAGUGGCUUUUCCUCAGGGUUGUGGCCACAGGGGAAGGGGCAUUUCCCCAGGGUUCUUGUUGGUCCUCAGUGUUGGGGCAGGAGGGGAAAGGCCUUUUACUUCGGAUUGAGGCCGGAGGGAAGGGGUUUUCCUCAGGAUUGGGGACGGAGGUGAAGGGGCUUUUCCUUAGGAUUUGGAAUUUUCCUCAGGGUUGGGGACAGAGGGGAAGGGGCUUUUCCUUAGGGUUUGGAAUUUUCCUCAGGGUUGGGGACGGAGGGGAAGGGUCUUUUCCUCAGGGUUGGGUCCGGAGCGGAAAGGGCUUUUCUUCAGGGUUGGAUUCCGGAGGGGAAGGGGUUUUUCCUCAGGGUUGGGGCUGGAGGGGAAUGAGCUUUUCCUUGGGCUUUGGGCCGGAGGGCAAGGGACUGCUCCUCGGUGUUGGUGCUGGAGGGGGAGGGGUUUUUCCUCAGGGUUGGGGCCAGAGGGGAAUGGGCUUUUCCUCAGGGUUGGGUCCGGAGUUGAUUGGGCUUUUCCUCAGGGUUGGGGCAGGAGGGGAAGGAGCUUUUCCUCAGGGUUGAGGCCGGAUUUGAUGGGGCUUUUCCUCGGGCUUUGGUUUGGAGGGGAAGGGGCUUUUCCUCAUGCUUGGGGCUAAUGGGGAAGGGGCUUUUCCUCAGGGUUGCGGCCAGAGGGGAAGGGGCUUUUCCUCAGGGUUGGGGCCGGAGGGAAGGGGCUUUUCCUCAGGGUUAGGGCUGGAGGGGAAGGGGCUUCUCCUCAGGGUUGGGGCCGGAGGGGAAUGGGUU